UUACUAGUCUCACAAUGAGCCACGUCACUGGAUAAAAAAAAUUUGCCGGACCGACACGUCCAGUCGCCCUUCCUCUCCAGACGUCACGGCGUCACGCCCGAUGGCCCUCUCCCCAUCGAUCUCUACUGCCCUCGGUCGCCAGAACGACGCGCGUGGUCCCUCUCCCCAUCGAUCUGUUCGUCCUGGAAAAACCUGUUCUUAUUCCUAGCGAUUGCUUAAUCACCGGCACUAAUUCCACCUCCGCCGUCGUUUGGCCUCCUUGAAACAAUUUCUCAUGAAACAGCCCCCAUAAAUCCAGCAUUCAUCGAGUAGAAACUGCUCGAUUAAACUGAUCCGCCGCCGCCGCCUCUAGGUUAAAAGCCACCCCGUGCUACAAUCUACAACAAGCAUGUCAGCCGGAUCCUAUUUUUACGACCAUUCUAGGUUGACUUCGCCUCCCAUUGAUGCGUGAGACCUGCGGGCUGCUAAAGACAUUUUCCUCCGUCUUCAUACCGUGGGAGUUCAUCUCUUCCUAAAUCAAGGGCAUCUUCGUAUUCAUGGCCACAUCCCACCACAAGAAAAACGAACUGAGCCAGCCACACUACAUGCUGGAUGUGAUGUGAGAACCAGCACUCCAAGCAUCCAGCGCUCCCGUAAAUUAGACCUUGUGCCUCUGAUCGUGCAUGUAGUGGCAGCAUGUAUUAUGCCUGUGGGUAUUUCCCUUAUCUACUACCGUCCGUGUAUAGAAAAUGAGGAAGCCCUCCAAAGCCUGAUGAGUAUUUGACAUUUGUCAUAUCUUUGAUAUUCCAUGGUUCUCUGCGUUUUCCCCUUAUGUGAUACGGCACUGAAGUGUAACGCUUAUUGUGGCCCUCAAAUUUUAUUAUGCCAUCAUUUUUUUUCAUUCUUUAGCAGACUGGUGACAUUGAUCUGUAGAUCCACCGGUUUCUUGCUUAUCUAUAUAUAAGGAAUCAGAUUCAAGCA